rnacentral:lncRNA from 1 species
CGCCUUGGGAGUCUAGAGAGCAACAUCCCCUUGAGAGGACGGGGCCUUCAAGGAAGAUGGAGACUGAGAUCAACCAAGAAAUAUAUACUGGUUCUGCGCCCGUGGUUUCUGACACAGCGCUCCUAAAACCCUUGCCAUUUCCACAGUGAGGGGAGCCUGUGAGGCAACUCUUGGUGGCUCCUGGAGUUGAUUCGAGGCUUGGAUCUUUCAGCCGCAUCCUUCAGCGUAGCGAAGGAUGGAUGAGUGGGCAUGCUCCCAGACCUCGUCAUGGCCCCAGGCUAGAGAGCUGGAAUUUUUCGGCUGGGAAGAUCUUACAAACACCAAGUAGGUCGACCCUCCCUCUUUUUCCAAAUUGGGAGACAAAGGACCUGAGGGAGGGAGCAGCCUCUGCGGGGGCACAUCUCCAAGCCCGCACAUCUCCUGCCACCGUCAUUUCCAAAAGGAUUCCUGCCGAGUGACGCAUCCUUCCUCCCACCGAAAGGAGGCGCUGUGCUGCGCUCCUAACUCCAGCUGCGAGACCUCCUCCCCUGCCGUCUGCGCCCAAAAUCUCAUUGGAAAAAUCUGUUUGCAAGAGUUCCAGUCCUGUUCGCAGCCCCCGCCCCCUGCACACACGUCUGUUUGGCUCUGGGCAAACUCACCUGGGGAGAGUGAGUGGCCUGGAACUCCACCCCUGCCCCCAGCCCCAAAGCCACCUUCUCUUAGCUCCCACAGCCCAUCCAAUCCCAACCAGCUCCUGACCUUGAACAUGUUACCUUCUGGGCCUCAGUUUCCCCAGAGCGAAUCCCUUCUCAUCUCAGCUGCACAGCCAUGGUCAGCAGGUUGGCAAACAAGGCCCCCAGGAACUGCCCCCUCGCUGGCUGGCAGCCCUUCAGGCCCUCAACCCUGGGCUCAGAGGAUGCCCUCUGCUCCCCAAUUCCCCGGGGUCCCGUGUGGGUUUAGGUCUGUGACUUCUCCUGCCUGGACUGCUAAUCAUUUGUCUUUUUUCACUAGGGAAAUUCUUUUUUUUUUUUUCUUUUAAAUAGUUGCACCCACGGCAUUUGGAAGUUCCCAGGCUAGGGGUUGAAUUGGAGUUGCAGCUGCUGUCCUACACCACAGCCACAGCAACGCGGGAUCCUUAACCCACUGAGCGAGGCCGGGGAUGGAACCCACGUCCUCAUGGAUACUAGUCGGGUUCGUAAGCCACUGAGCCAAAACAGGAACUCCUUCACCAGGGACAUUCCCAGUCAUUAUUUAACGCCUUGGCCGAGCAUCUUCUGAGAGACGAGGCUUAGUUCCCCGUGAAUGACUCCUGCAUGGACCCCAGCCAGGCGCUCCCCCUGCCUUCCCGGGUGCCUGCGCGCUCUGGCUCCUCCGUCUCCACAUUUAGAUCAGGGACAUCCAAGGGUACAGCCCGUGUCCCCUGUACUCCAGGUGUCAAGCUCUUAGGGGAGUUUACCCGCCAGCGGUUGGAUAGGUGACUUGGUGAAGGUAGCGGCAUUUAUAAUCCUCUGCAUUUAUCAUCUUUCUAAAGGCAUGAGAAAGCGAGUUUGGAAAGCCGGAUCCCUGCCCUUGAACUAGAAGAGCUUUGGGGAAGGGGGACGAGGGACUGCCCUCACAUGGAAGAAGUGGGGACAGGGGACACAGGCUUCCAGGAAAGGACUGAUGAGCCUGGGUGGCUGGGAAUUCAGGCUAAGGAGUCACCCUGAGACCAUCCAAGCCUCCUGGGCAUUCGAGGACGUCCUUGUGUCCCCGCUGCCCUGGAGGGGUAGGGGGCUGAAGCCGCCUUGCUGGGGGGUUAGGGAAAAGGCGGGGAGGGGGGCAGUGCUACCAUGGUCACUAAGGUCACCAGCUGGGCUCUCUCGGCGUCCCCAUGUCCUUCCUUCAGGGGCUCACCAGACCCACUUCUUCCCCGUCGGGCACCCUCCUACCCUCCCCAGCCGCUCCCAAGGCCCCCUCCUAUGGGGGCGCCUUCAGUUCUCCCACUGUGCUCCAAUCCUGUUGGCCUCGGUCACGUGUGAGGUUCGCCCCGGGGACCACUGCUCCCUCUCUUGGACCCAGACUCCAGCCCCACAGAGCCAGGUGCUGUUCUUGAGUCCCCCCGCCACCCGCCUCAUUGCUCUUGUGCCCAGGGCUCUCUGCCCGCCCUGCCCGCCUUCUUCCUCUUUCUGGGCAUUUCCUCUGUCCUGCCCAAUGCACACUUACUGGGGGACUCCCACGGGCCCCCUCUUGAGAAAGCCUUCCCUGAUGGCUUGCCACUCCCCAGACUGGCUCCAGUGCCCCCUGCCAUCCACCCCUGGUGCCCCCUGCUUACCUGUCCCCUGCCUUUGAAAGCACCUGUGCACACACAAGUAAGCUGCCUGUGAACUCCUUGAGGGCAGAAGCCACGUGGUAUUUGUCUCUGGCCACAGGCUGGUACUAAGCAGAAGUUGAUAGAUGUUUGUUGACUGACUGAAUGACUGAAAAGAAAAGUAUUGGAUUCUA